UGGCUCAGGACGAACGCUGGCGGCGUGCCUAAUACAUGCAAGUCGAACGGUCUUUCUAUGGAAGCUUGCUUCCACUGAGAAGAUAGUGGCGAACGGGUGAGUAACACGUGGGUAACCUGCCCAUAAGAGGGGGAUAACAUCCGGAAACGGGUGCUAAUACCGCAUAGUUUUCUUGAUCGCAUGAUUGAGAAAGGAAAGACGGCCUUUGUGCUGUCGCUUAUGGAUGGACCCGCGGCGUAUUAGUUAGUUGGUGAGGUAAUGGCUCACCAAGACGAUGAUACGUAGCCGACCUGAGAGGGUGAUCGGCCACAUUGGGACUGAGACACGGCCCAAACUCCUACGGGAGGCAGCAGUAGGGAAUCUUCCGCAAUGGACGAAAGUCUGACGGAGCAACGCCGCGUGAGUGAAAGAAGGUUUUCGGAUCGUAAAACUCUGUUGUCAGAGAAGAACAAGUUGGAGAGUAACUGCUCCAGCCUUGACGGUAUCUGACCAGAAAGCCACGGCUAACUACGUGCCAGCCGCGGC
rnacentral:rRNA from 1 species